rnacentral:lncRNA from 1 species
UGGUGCGGUCGUGGCCAAAUCAGGUCGUAGUAGAAGCGUAGUGAGAGCGCACUAAGAUCGUAGUAAGAUCGCAAAGGUCGCUGUACCAUCGUAGUGAGAGCGUAGCGAAAGCGUGAUUCUAUUCGGAGAAACUGCGCUACGAUCUCAUUGCGACGUUAUUACGACCUCACUACGAUCAUCACGUUCUCACCGCGACCAAACUACGCUUCCACUACGACUAUACCACGCUGUUCACGACCAUAGUACGAUUCUAGCACGCCCUUGCCGUCCUCAUCACGCUCUUCUUACGACCUGACUACGUUCAUACUACGACCAUUAUUCUCAUUGUCAUUUUCCCAUAAAAUAUAUUAAUUCUCUCCAGGUUUUGUUUGUCUGUAUGUAAUUGGGACUUCUUGUCCAUUUUCUCUAACGGCUCAACCAUGCUUCUUCUUGUUUUCAUAUAGAUUAGACCGUUGGUUUUCCCGUUUGAAUGGUUUUACACUAGUAAUUUUUGGGGCCUUUUAUAUCUUGCUGUUCGGUGUAAGCCAAGGCUCCGUGUUGAAGGCCGUAUCUUGGCCUAUAAUUGUUACUUUUAAAAAUUGUUACUUGGAUUGAGAGUUGUCUCAUUGGCACUCAUACCACAUCUUCCUAUAUCUAUUGACACAUCUGUUUCAUAUCUGCUAUCGUUCACUAAAAUAUCGUCAUUUCAGCUUUAUGGACCAGCAAUAGGUUGUAAUUUAGGUCGGAUUGGUCGGUCCGACAUCUCUACUUGAUCAAGAUUCGUUACUAUCAGAGCUCCAUCUGCCUCUACAUCAACCCUAACACCACGCCCACGUGUUCUAGUAGAUUUUGGUGGCUUGAUUGUAUUUUUUUUUUCGAGAAAUCUACGUAUUAAUUAGAAAUAGAACUGAAGGAAUGAUACUGUAUUGAUAUGGAACACGAUGUUGACGUUAUUGCUGAGAGCGUAGUAAGAUCGCGGUUUGAACGUAGUGUAAUCGUGGUAAGAACGUGCUAUAAUCGCAGUAGAAGCGUGGUAAGAUCGUGUUGCAAUCGGAUAACUCGUGGUAUGGUCGUAGUGAGAACGUGAUGAGCGUAGAAAGAUCUUGAUAAGCGUAGUAAGGUCGCAGAAUAAGCGCGGUGAGAACGUGUUAUAAUCGUAGCGGGAUCGUUGUAGAAGCGUAAUGAGGACGUAGUAGCAUCGUGAAAGCAACGAAAAUUUACAUUUUCAUGCCGCUCAUACCGCGACCUCACCACGAUCUGAAUUUAAUUUAGAUCGCGGUGAGCGUGGUGCGAUCGUGGUCUAGUGGGACUGGGGCUUAAAG